CAAAAUCCAGAAUGCAGCUGAGACCCAGAUUUCUACAUGUUUUCAUAAGCAUUAAUUUUAUUUACUUUUAAGAAUUCAUCUAACCCCUUUUUAAAACUACUUACUUUUCCUGCUGUGACCAUAUCCAGAGGUAGACUAUUCCACAGAUUUACA